UACAGAGGUCCCGAGCGUUGUUCGGAUUCACUGGGCGUAAAGGGUGCGUAGGUGGUGAGGUAAGUCGGAUGUGAAAGCUCGGAGCUCAACUCCGAAAUGGCAUUGGAAACUACCUUGCUAGAGGGUUGGAGGGGGGACUGGAAUGCUUGGUGUAGCAGUGAAAUGCGCAGAUAUCAGGAGGAACACCGGUGGCGAAGGCGGGACUCUGGGCCGAUACUGACGCUGAGGAGCGAAAGCGUGGGGAGCAAACAGG
rnacentral:rRNA from 1 species